UCGUAACAAGGUUUCCGUAGGUGAACCUGCGGAAGGAUCAUUACCGAGUGAGGGCCCUCUGGGUCCAACCUCCCACCCGUGUUUAUCGUACCUUGUUGCUUCGGCGGGCCCGCCUCACGGCCGCCGGGGGGCAUCUGCCCCCGGGCCCGCGCCCGCCGAAGACACACAAACGAACUCUUGUCUGAAGAUUGCAGUCUGAGUACUUGACUAAAUCAGUUAAAACUUUCAACAACGGAUCUCUUGGUUCCGGCAUCGAUGAAGAACGCAGCGAAAUGCGAUAAGUAAUGUGAAUUGCAGAAUUCAGUGAAUCAUCGAGUCUUUGAACGCACAUUGCGCCCCCUGGUAUUCCGGGGGGCAUGCCUGUCCGAGCGUCAUUGCUGCCCUCAAGCACGGCUUGUGUGUUGGGCUCUCGCCCCCCGCUUCCGGGGGGCGGGCCCGAAAGGCAGCGGCGGCACCGCGUCCGGUCCUCGAGCGUAUGGGGCUUCGUCACCCGCUCUGUAGGCCCGGCCGGCGCCCGCCGGCGAACACCAUCAAUCUUAACCAGGUUGACCUCGGAUCAGGUAGGGAUACCCGCUGAACUUAAGCAUAUCAAUAA
rnacentral:misc_RNA from 1 species